rnacentral:rRNA from 1 species
UGGGGAAUAUUGCACAAUGGGCGCAAGCCUGAUGCAGCCAUGCCGCGUGUGUGAAGAAGGCCUUCGGGUUGUAAAGCACUUUCAGCGAGGAGGAAGGGUAGUGUGUUAAUAGCACAUUGCAUUGACGUUACUCGCAGAAGAAGCACCGGCUAACUCCGUGCCAGCAGCCGCGGUAAUACGGAGGGUGCAAGCGUUAAUCGGAAUUACUGGGCGUAAAGCGCACGCAGGCGGUUUGUUAAGUCAGAUGUGAAAGCCCCGCGCUUAACGUGGGAACUGCAUUUGAAACUGGCAAGCUAGAGUCUUGUAGAGGGGGGUAGAAUUCCAGGUGUAGCGGUGAAAUGCGUAGAGAUCUGGAGGAAUACCGGUGGCGAAGGCGGCCCCCUGGACAAAGACUGACGCUCAGGUGCGAAAGCGUGGGGAGCAAACA